GGCUAUGGUUCUAGUUCACUGCUGUGAUCACUUCACUCCAGCUGCCAGAGUAUCCCGCUGACCCCAUUCUUUGCAGUGGAGUUGUGAUGUUGAACUGGAGUGCAGGAGUGCUGAAACUAGCUGGCCACUUCAGCGCCAGCAGGGAUGAAUUCCACUUACUCUAACCUGCUGUGCUUCACCCGUCAUGGCCGGCGGGGAGCACUCAGGUGAGCCAGUGCAGGAGACGG
rnacentral:lncRNA from 1 species